GCCUGGUGAAGCUGGGGGUUCACUGUGUCACCUGCCAGAAAGUGGCCAUCAAGAUUGUCAAUCGUGAGAAGCUCAGCGAGUCUGUGCUGAUGAAGGUGGAGCGAGAGAUUGCCAUCCUGAAGCUCAUCGAGCACCCCCACGUCCUCAAGCUGCACGACGUUUAUGAAAACAAAAAAUAUUUAUACUUGGUGCUAGAACACGUGUCAGGCGGGGAGCUCUUCGACUACCUGGUGAAGAAGGGGAGGCUGACCCCCAAGGAGGCCCGAAAGUUCUUCCGGCAGAUCAUCUCAGCGCUGGACUUCUGCCACAGCCACUCCAUAUGCCACAGGGAUCUGAAACCCGAAAACCUCCUGCUGGACGAGAAGAACAACAUCCGGAUCGCGGACUUCGGCAUGGCAUCCCUGCAGGUUGGCGACAGCCUGUUGGAGACCAGCUGCGGGUCCCCCCACUACGCCUGCCCCGAGGUGAUCCGGGGGGAGAAGUAUGACGGCCGGAAGGCGGACGUGUGGAGCUGCGGCGUCAUCCUUUUCGCCUUGCUGGUGGGGGCCCUGCCCUUCGAUGACGACAACCUACGGCAGCUGCUGGAGAAGGUGAAGCGGGGUGUGUUCCACAUGCCACACUUCAUCCCGCCUGACUGCCAGAGCCUGCUGCGGGGCAUGAUCGAGGUGGACGCCGCGCGCCGCCUGACGCUAGAGCACAUUCAGAAACACAUAUGGUAUAUAGGGGGCAAGAACGAACCGGAGCCAGAGCAGCCCAUUCCCCGCAAGGUCCAGAUCCGCUCGCUGCCCAGCCUGGAGGACAUCGACCCUGACGUGCUGGACAGCAUGCAUUCCCUGGGCUGCUUCCGAGACCGCAACAAACUGCUGCAGGACCUGCUGUCGGAGGAGGAGAACCAGGAGAAGAUGAUUUACUUCCUCCUACUGGACCGGAAAGAAAGGUACCCGAGCCAGGAGGAUGAGGACCUGCCCCCCCGGAAUGAGAUAGACCCUCCCCGGAAGCGUGUGGACUCUCCGAUGCUGAACCGCCAUGGCAAGCGGCGGCCGGAGCGCAAGUCCAUGGAGGUGCUCAGCGUGACGGACGGCGGCUCCCCGGUGCCUGCGCGGCGCGCCAUUGAGAUGGCCCAGCACAGCCAGAGGUCUCGGUCCAUCAGCGGUGCCUCCUCAGGCCUUUCCACCAGCCCACUCAGCAGCCCCCGGGUGACCCCUCACCCCUCACCGAGGGGCAGUCCCCUCCCCACCCCCAAGGGGACACCUGUCCACACGCCAAAGGAGAGCCCGGCUGGCACGCCCAACCCCACGCCACCAUCCAGCCCCAGCGUCGGAGGGGUGCCAUGGAGGGCGAGGCUCAAUUCCAUCAAGAACAGCUUCCUGGGCUCACCCCGCUUCCACCGCCGGAAACUGCAAGUUCCGACGCCGGAGGAGAUGUCCAACCUGACCCCAGAGUCAUCCCCAGAGCUGGCCAAGAAGUCCUGGUUUGGGAACUUCAUCAGCCUGGAGAAGGAGGAGCAGGUCUUCGUGGUCAUCAAAGACAAGCCUCUGAGCUCCAUCAAGGCUGACAUCGUGCACGCCUUCCUGUCGAUCCCCAGCCUCAGCCACAGUGUCAUCUCCCAGACGAGCUUCCGGGCUGAGUACAAGGCCACGGGGGGGCCCGCCGUGUUCCAGAAGCCGGUCAAGUUCCAGGUGGAUAUCACCUACACGGAGGGCGGGGAGGCGCAGAAGGAGAACGGCAUCUACUCCGUCACCUUCACCCUGCUUUCAGGCCCCAGCCGCCGCUUCAAGAGGGUGGUGGAGACCAUCCAGACCCAGCUGCUGAGCACACAUGACCCACCCUCCGCCCAGCACUUGUCAGAACCCCCCCCGCCAGCGCCAGGACUAAGCUGGGGCGCUGGGCUUAAGGGCCAGAAGGUGGCCACCAGCUACGAGAGUAGCCUCUGACGCUGGCAGACACCACUAACUGUAUGGAAAUGAUGACGGGGCGGCUUUCCAAAUGUGACGAGAAGAACGGGCAGGCGGCCCAGGCCCCCAGCACGCCCGCCAAGCGGAGUGCCCACGGCCCACUCGGUGACUCCGCGGCCGCUGGCCCUGGCCCCGGAGGGGACGCCGAGUACCCAACGGGCAAGGACACGGCCAAGACGGGCCCGCCCGCCGCCCGCCGCGAGCAGCCUUAGACACACUAGCCCCCCCCACCCAGCACAGCACUGACGGCGGCUGCCCUGCCGCCCGCCGCCCGCCCUGCCCCGAGUGGACCCGCGGCCGCCCGCCCGCCCGUCCAGACUGUUCUCAGAGCCUGGGAGGAAAGGAAAGGGGCGCCGGGGCCGGCCUGUGGGCUCCGCCACCCCCGCCCGCUCUCUUUUCUCUCUCCUGUCUCUGUCUCUGCCUGUCUCUGACGGCAUCACUUGUUUCCACUCUGAUACCAGGAAUUAUCCCGAAAAGUUAACAUGUCACCUCCACGAGGCCAUCCUCUGUGACCGAAGGCAGCUGCUGCGGACCCGCCCUCCCUCCGCUCCUGCUGUUGCUGCCGGGCAGCGAGGCCCAGCCCAGCGCCCCGUCCACCCCGAGGCAGCUCCUCGCCUCAGCUCCGCACGGCCCAUGGUAGGAGGGCCAGGCUCGGGGGAGCCUCCUCCAGCCCGGCCAGACUCCUGGUCACCCGGUCACCUGACCCCUCAGCAAGAACAGCCUGCCUGGAAGCCUUUUGGGGCCGGGACCCCCCGGCGGGCAAAGUAGCUGCAGGAACAGACCCGUCCGCCGCCUCCACGCCGCACUCGGAGGCCGCCUCACGCCUCCCUGGCUGCGCCGCCUCCUAUAGUCUUGGCCUCCCCGGGCUGCCUCCCGUCCUCCCGUCUCACCCAUGCCUCCGUCGCCUCCUCUGGGGCGGCCGUGGGCUCUGGCGCUCCUCCCUGGCUGAGGUGGAAACAGAGAGACCGUGGGGCGUCAGAGCCUUCCUGGCUGGCCAGGCCGCUGGGCUGGGAUCAGUGUUAUUUAUUUGCUGUUUUAAUUUAUGGAGUCUCUACACCUCUGUUCAGGGAAGGGCGGCAGCCGCAUCCCCUGCCGUCUGCGCGUCUCGGGCAGUGGGGGGGUCCAGGGCCCGGGCGCCCUCUGAGGACAAGAGCCGGCGGGGUGCGGGGGGCUGGCGAGCUACUGUAAACUUUAAAGAAUUCCUGCAAGAUAUUUUUAUAAACUUUUUUUUCUUGGUGGUUUUUGGAAAAGGGUGUGGGGGUGGGGCGCCGCAGGGGCAGGGCCAGGGCAGGGCAGGGCCAGGUUUUGUUUCAGCCCGGGCUCCCAGUUUUUGCACACUCAUCUAGCUAAAGAUGGCGCGGUUCGAUCUGUCCUGGGUUCUGCUUCUCACCGUGGAGAGGCGGCUCCACCUCGGGGGGGCUCAGGGCAUCUCACGGCGGGCAGCAGUGCCCAUGCCCUUGUCAAGACCCAGGCUGGGACAGUCUCGGCUUUGUGUCCAAGGGUGAGGGAGUAGGAGAAAGGCCCUCGAGGGCCCUCCCCACGCACAGGGCAGCAGGGGCGCCGGGGGCUUUUCUUAUUAAAACAAAAAAAGUUGAAAGCAACCGAAGGACAGAAAGAGCCAGUGGCGCUCCUCUGCAGGGUGUUCUGUGCAGUGCAGGGGGGUGGGGGCUGCAGGCCCAUCCCACUUGGUGCCUGCCACCCUCGCUUCACCCCAGCUCAGGCUUCUGUGUUCCCGUGUGCCCGGCUCCCCAGGUGGGCACAGUGCCCGGGUGCAGCGGCUGGGAGGGCGGUGGCGUUCUGAUGCAUGCCUUUGCCACAGGGUCCAUCUGCUUCGGUGCCCCUGCCUCGCACCCACCUCGUGUAUCAAUUUUAAUGCUUCUGUUAACAUCAGACCUCUGCCACAGGCUGGGAUUUCUACACAUAAGAACAAAGUCAUAUAGGACAGCAAACGCCAGGCGGCACAGGCGGAAAGGGCUCUCCACGGAGACAAGGACACGAAGCAGAGCCUCUCGCCCGCCUUCUGCUUCUGUGCUUCGGACACAUGCGGACUCCAGCAGGCACCACGGAAACGGGCACGCGCCUGCAGUGUACCCCUGUCACAUACUGUGAGCAGCCACAGCUCCGGAACAAUAAAUCCCUUCCGCAAAGACA